GAGAGGCAACAGUACGCACCGUGCCAUUCAUCCAAUUUUACGUAUAUAUUAAUAUCCUGGUAGUGAUCAUUUGAAAAUACACCCGAGACCUGCCUGUUACAAAUCACCCGCUAGUAACCCUAGUAACGAUUCGCGCAAAGAAGUACGAAUGUCCAUUCGGGUAGUCUGCUGACUGCAGGUACAAUUACAGUAUAUCCUGCUACAAUUGUUUAGCGUGCAGUUCAUUCCAUAAAGCAGACUUUCUCAACCUUCUUACCCCGGAGGAACCCCUUCAAUAAUUUUCAAGCCUCAGGAACCCAUGUAUAAACAUUAUUACAAAGAAAUCCAGAACUUAUCCAGGGAUAGUUCAGUAAACUUCAUCUUGAGUGCACAAUCAGACUGCAGCUCAUAAGUUCUUCCCUUUCUCUUAAAGCUUCAUCCAAAGACCCGGGGAAAAACUCUGGAUGACAUUCCCCAUAGCGAUUUGUAAACUGAUCCGAAAAGUGAAUACAUCCAGCUACUUCAUCUUCCACAUUAUUUGGAACUACAGUAAAGAAAGGAUGUGCAGUGAAUGGUGCUCUCUUAACAGUAAACUCGUGAACAGGGUGUCUAAUUCCUGAACACGCAAGAGUUGUUCU